rnacentral:tRNA from 1 species
GGCCGCGUGGCCUAAUGGCUAAGGCGCUAGAUUUCGGUCCCCUGUCCGGUUCUCUAGAGAUUCCAGGUUCGACUCCUGGCGUGGUCG